rnacentral:rRNA from 1 species
GACGAACGCUGGCGGCGUGCCUAAUACAUGCAAGUAGAACGCUGAAGCGAGGAGCUUGCUCUUCUUGGAUGAGUUGCGAACGGGUGAGUAACGCGUAGGUAACCUGCCUUGUAGCGGGGGAUAACUAUUGGAAACGAUAGCUAAUACCGCAUAACAAUGGAUGACACAUGUCAUUUAUUUGAAAGGGGCAAUUGCUCCACUACAAGAUGGACCUGCGUUGUAUUAGCUAGUAGGUGAGGUAACGGCCCACCUAGGCGACGAUACAUAGCCGACCUGAGAGGGUGAUCGGCCACACUGGGACUGAGACACGGCCCAGACUCCUACGGGAGGCAGCAGUAGGGAAUCUUCGGCAAUGGGGGCAACCCUGACCGAGCAACGCCGCGUGAGUGAAGAAGGGUUUCGGAUCGUAAAGCUCUGUUGUAAGUCAAGAACGAGUGUGAGAGUGGAAAGUUCACACUGUGACGGUAGCUUACCAGAAAGGGACGGCUAACUACGUG